rnacentral:piRNA from 1 species
UGCAUAGUGCUACAUUUACUCACUCAUGC